ACAAGAUUUCAAACUGCAGGAAAAUCACUGGAGUUAUAAGAGGCAGACAACUACACGCACACACACACCACGUGCAUGCUGCUAUUUAUUGUGUAUUAUUACAAAAACAAAAAAAUUCUGCAUCAAAUACAGGAAAUCACAUUUCCUAGAUUGUUGGCAUGGUGGUUAGUGCUGUUGCUUCACAGUAAGAAGGUCCUGUGUUCAAAUCCACAUUCUGGCUAUAGAAAUAACAAAAAGUUUAAUGAACUAGAUUUGCAUUCUUCAGUUCAAUUAAAUGUAAUUAUUUUAAAUCAACAACUCUAAAACCGAUGCCUAGUGCGCAUGCUCAAACUUCCCAGAAGUGAAAAGGCGGGAACGCGGAGAAAGUUAUGUGUUCAGUGAACUGCCAUUUCCCCCUGCGGAAUCUUCCACAAUACAGUAACACCACAAAGAAAGCUGACCCCUUUUUCUGAUUGUUUGUGCCUCCUCUUUAAUACAUGUGACUUGUAUGUGGCAGUGCAAGCGUUGUUCCAUCAGGGAGAGUAGUAGAUUGACAAGGAGUUUCUGCGAAUCACCACAAAGCCUCUGCUAUCUACUUUCUUUGCCGAGCUUGACCAAUACGCGCCACGCUUAAUGGAAAUCUUUCUGACCAAAGGAGGGACACGUGGAAAGAAAAUAAGAGGUCUCAUGCUUGCCAUCUCCAAGCAUGACAACAUCCAUACCAGACGAGCAUGCAUCUUGAAGUCUUUGUGCAUCUACCUAAACGAAGACUAUGAGAAGUUAAUAAAGGAGUACUUGGAUACGGACAGCGAGGCAAAAAGCUGCAUGGAGCAAACUGUGAUGGGGGUGUACGUCAUCCAGAAGGAGGGUGCUGAACCUGAAGAUGACCCAGAGGACGUUGGUGUCGUGAUUGAGGGUGUGGAGGCUAACACUGAUUUGGGUAACAUUGCACAAGCAUGUGCUCUGUUGUUUGGACUUGUAUACUGUUUGAACCUGAGCUACCCACCAGAACUUAAAUGCACCUUUGAAGUCCUCCAGAAGAUACUUUUAAAUCUUGAUGGACAAAAGCUGUCUUCAAAGGCACAGUUUCUGAAAAACAAGCUUAUGGGGUGAGAGCACUUGAAAAUGACUGAUAGGUCUUGAAUGGUUCAUUGGUGCAAUGGUGAUUUCCAAUAUAUAAUGGUAAUAUUUGAGUUGUUUAUAUUUUUUUCUUUCAUUUAAAUUUUUUUUUUUA